rnacentral:rRNA from 1 species
GAUGAACGCUGGCGGCGUGCCUAAUACAUGCAAGUCGAGCGAACAGAUGAGGAGCUUGCUCCUCUGACGUUAGCGGCGGACAGGUGAGUAACACGUGGAUAACCUACCUAUAAGACUGGGAUAACUUCGGGAAACCGGAGCUAAUACCGGAUAAUAUAUUGAACCGCAUGGUUCAAUAGUGAAAGACGGUUUUGCUGUCACUUAUAGAUGGAUCCGCGCCGCAUUAGCUAGUUGGUAAGGUAACGGCUUACCAAGGCAACGAUGCGUAGCCGACCUGAGAGGGUGAUCGGCCACACUGGAACUGAGACACGGUCCAGACUCCUACGGGAGGCAGUAGUAGGGAAUCUUCCGCAAUGGGCGAAAGCCUGACGGAGCAACGCCGCGUGAGUGAUGAAGGUCUUCGGAUCGUAAAACUCUGUUAUUAGGGAAGAACAAAUGUGUAAGUAACUAUGCACGUCUUGACGGUACCUAAUCAGAAAGCCACGGCUAACUACGUG